AAAUUGAAGAGUUUGAUCAUGGCUCAGAUUGAACGCUGGCGGCAGGCCUAACACAUGCAAGUCGAACGGUAACAGGAAGCAGCUUGCUGCUUCGCUGACGAGUGGCGGACGGGUGAGUAAUGUCUGGGAAACUGCCUGAUGGAGGGGGAUAACUACUGGAAACGGUGGCUAAUACCGCAUAACGUCGCAAGACCAAAGAGGGGGACCUUCGGGCCUCUUGCCAUCAGAUGUGCCCAGAUGGGAUUAGCUUGUUGGUGAGGUAACGGCUCACCAAGGCGACGAUCCCUAGCUGGUCUGAGAGGAUGACCAGCCACACUGGAACUGAGACACGGUCCAGACUCCUACGGGAGGCAGCAGUGGGGAAUAUUGCACAAUGGGCGCAAGCCUGAUGCAGCCAUGCCGCGUGUAUGAAGAAGGCCUUCGGGUUGUAAAGUACUUUCAGCGGGGAGGAAGGUGUUGUGGUUAAUAACCGCAGCAAUUGACGUUACCCGCAGAAGAAGCACCGGCUAACUCCGUGCCAGCAGCCGCGGUAAUACGGAGGGUGCAAGCGUUAAUCGGAAUUACUGGGCGUAAAGCGCACGCAGGCGGUCUGUCAAGUCGGAUGUGAAAUCCCCGGGCUCAACCUGGGAACUGCAUUCGAAACUGGCAGGCUUGAGUCUUGUAGAGGGGGGUAGAAUUCCAGGUGUAGCGGUGAAAUGCGUAGAGAUCUGGAGGAAUACCGGUGGCGAAGGCGGCCCCCUGGACAAAGACUGACGCUCAGGUGCGAAAGCGUGGGGAGCAAACAGGAUUAGAUACCCUGGUAGUCCACGCCGUAAACGAUGUCUACUUGGAGGUUGUGCCCUUGAGGCGUGGCUUCCGGAGCUAACGCGUUAAGUAGACCGCCUGGGGAGUACGGCCGCAAGGUUAAAACUCAAAUGAAUUGACGGGGGCCCGCACAAGCGGUGGAGCAUGUGGUUUAAUUCGAUGCAACGCGAAGAACCUUACCUGGUCUUGACAUCCACAGAACUUUCCAGAGAUGGAUUUGUGCCUUCGGGAACUGUGAGACAGGUGCUGCAUGGCUGUCGUCAGCUCGUGUUGUGAAAUGUUGGGUUAAGUCCCGCAACGAGCGCAACCCUUAUCCUUUGUUGCCAGCGGUUAGGCCGGGAACUCAAAGGAGACUGCCAGUGAUAAACUGGAGGAAGGUGGGGAUGACGUCAAGUCAUCAUGGCCCUUACGACCAGGGCUACACACGUGCUACAAUGGCGCAUACAAAGAGAAGCGACCUCGCGAGAGCAAGCGGACCUCAUAAAGUGCGUCGUAGUCCGGAUUGGAGUCUGCAACUCGACUCCAUGAAGUCGGAAUCGCUAGUAAUCGUGGAUCAGAAUGCCACGGUGAAUACGUUCCCGGGCCUUGUACACACCGCCCGUCACACCAUGGGAGUGGGUUGCAAAAGAAGUAGGUAGCUUAACCUUCGGGAGGGCGCUUACCACUUUGUGAUUCAUGACUGGGGUGAAGUCGUAACAAGGUAACCGUAGGGGAACCUGCGGUUGGAUCACCUCCUUACCUUAAAGAAGC
rnacentral:rRNA from 1 species